ensembl:lncRNA
CAGGCAACCAUCAAGUGACAGGCAGUUAUUAAACUGUCUCUCUGAAAUAAUUGGUUGCAAUCAGUACCAUGGAAAGGCAGUCUCCCAGUAAACAGAAACACCUGAGACUGGUAAUCAGCAGCUUCCUGACAAGAUCUCAGGAGUUGGGCAAGUGAGCUCAAGUAUACACAUUAAGAGGCAAAAAAACAACAAAACAAAACAAGGAAUUUAACUGGUGUAUGAACUUCUAGGGACAUUUGACUGGUAAAGGAAAAAUUCCUCAAGUUAGCAUGCAUACAACUCGAGUAAACGCACUGCACAUGUGUGGGUUAUGAUAAGAGGUUGUAGAAACCGAGGUUUUAUCAUGUAGAUGAAGUCUCCAGGUAGCAGGCUUCAGAGAGAAUAGAUUGCUAAUAUAUCUUAUCAGACUUAAAGAGUCUUUUCUAUCAGGAAUUCCAAAAGAGAGGAGGGUAUAAUAAAGUAUGUCUAGCUGCCCCUUCCGAUUAUGGCAUAUGAGUUUUUCAGGAUAACUUUGGAAUGUCCUUGGCUGAGAGGAGGGGUUUAUUGAGAUGGUUGGGAGGGGCUUAGAAUUUAUUUUUGGUUUACUGAUUGAAUAAACCACAUGUUGCUGGGCAGCCACAAAGUCCCAGGAGCUCUUCCAAGCAUGGAGACACAUAAAAGUCAUUGGAAUGAAGAUGGCAUUAGAUACUUCUCUUGCAGAGCACAGUUUCAGAGUAAUAAGAGCAGCGGAGAGGAAACCCAGGCCUUGAUGGAAAAAAACAGUGACUUUGUUCUAUUUGUUGGUGGUCGAUCUGUGGUGAGAAGAUGAAGAGUGGGCAGGGCUCAGCCCUCAGGGAGCAGUUGUGUGGUCACAGUCAAAAGUAGCACAGCUCUAUCCUCCUCAUGGGUGGAUAAGCCUCCAGAAAGCAUUCACUCAGAGGGAAGAAACAGGACAGAGAGAGCAACCAGGAUAAAAUCAUCUUAGUUUCAAAGGCAAAGCUGACUGUGACAUGAAGGUAGGACUUAAAGCCAGUGGUCUUUCAACUUUCCCCAUGCUUAUGACUGCAUUUUGGUAAUGUGCCUGUAAUUAAGCUCCUGUUGGAAUUUUUAAAAGGUUUCUUAAAAUAUGUUUAAUUUCCCUUUUCAUCUUCCAACUUAGAAGAAAUGCUAAUUAUUCCAAGUUGGAAGAUAAAAUUAGAAAAGAUGUCAAUUCAGUUGCACUUUGAUGAAAAUCUGACUUCAGGACAUUAAUUUGAACCAUAGGAAACACCUGGAGGGUAGUGCCUUUUGCUGAGAAACCCACAAUCAUGCCUGUUGUGUUUCCCAAAACUUAUAUCUUGUCAGGUCAAUCAAACUUAACAUACACUGAGGAAUCUGAAUAUCUUUUCUUGAGUCUUGUGGAGUCAAGCCCAUGUGCUGUCACAGAGCAUCCUUGGCAUGACGGCACAUCUCUUGCAUGGCACAACACACACUCUGUGAAUGUUAGAUUAUUUUAAUUUUGAUAGUGCAUUUGGCAUGAGGUUGAUUUUUUACAACUGGUGAUUCAAAUAUUGUCACAAAAUACUUGAAAAUCGAUCUUUAUGUAUCACUAAAUUACUUUUCCAUAAGUAGUAUCCACAAAUACAAAAUCACUGAAUAUAAAUUUUCAGCUGUAAUUUCUGAUCUGGUUACAUAAAUGUUAUUUAAUUUAAAUUAAGCCAAAGUUGGAGCUAAACAGCUUUUCUGUGACCAUUUCAUCUUUAAGAUGAAGUUAAAGAUUUGCAUUUGAAAUACCCCUUGAUUGAAUUGAAAGUAGCAUUUCCAGUUAAUGUGUAGCAUCCUCUGAAUGCCAAUGGUCUUUGAGUAAACAGAUGAACCUUCAUGUCUCUGUUUUAGUUGUUUCAGACUCCACUUCACAUCCUCUUGGUAAUGCACAUGAAUGCCAAUUCCUGUUUUAUAUAUUUGGGUAGAGGAUAGAACAUAUUAAGAAUAACAGAUAAGUAUUUUUAAAUUCCCAUGUUAUUUUUCUCCUUUACAUUCAGUGGAUAAGUUCGGGA